rnacentral:rRNA from 1 species
UACGGGGGGGGCAAGCGUUGUUCGGAAUUACUGGGCGUAAAGGGCUCGUAGGCGGCCAACUAAGUCAGACGUGAAAUCCCUCGGCUUAACCGGGGAACUGCGUCUGAUACUGGAUGGCUUGAGAUUGGGAGAGGGAUGCGGAAUUCCUGGUGUAGCGGUGAAAUGCGCAGAUAUCAGGAGGAACACCCGUGGCGAAAGCGGCUCUCUGGGACGGUACUGACGCUGAGACGCGAAAGCGUGGGGAGCAAACAGG